CAACUCUGUUCUUAUGUCUGUGGUGGUGACCUGUGAGCAGCGGUCUUUGCCACAAGUGGAAUUGUUUGGGGGCACCAUGAACUGCACCCAGAUAAGACUAUGAACUCUGUCCUGUGUUCUGACUGCUCCACUGACCAUCUCCCUGUCGCCGUCCCCCUUGGCCUCCCUGUGCCCUGAGACACAACUGUGUUGAAGUUAGGCCAGUAGCAGCCCAACAGCGGCCUCGGAGUGUCCCAGGGAAAGGAAGAGCUGCACACCUCUCACUUUGAAUCAGAAGCUGGAAUGAUGGCACCGUGGAGGAGGCCAGCAGCCAGGCCUCCAGCCGAUAGCCACGCUGUGAAUGCGGAAGAAGUCCUGGGGAAGGACAUGGCACGCGCUGCCCAGUGAAGGAGCGAGGGAUAAGAGAGCGCAGCAGCUGCUGGUGCCGAGACUCACGGGCCUGGACAGGAGGGAAGCCAGUCACAGCCCAUCCUCAAGCCAGAGCCUCGUCCAGGGCAGGGUCCUGGGCCAGCUGAGGCUCAGUGGCAGGGCAUGUGCCCAGCGUGCCCCUGGUGCUCACAGCAGAGAGAAGUCAGUGCCAGGCUCCAAAGCCGGGCGGGUGUCUCUCCUGUCAGGCGCCUGCACAGUGGUGACAUCAGGUUGAAGCCAGUGCUGGCCCACCACUGUGACGAUCCUGGCCUGUCUGCUCUGCCCGAGUUCUGAAUGGACCACAGAGCCCUGAUGGCGCACAGCUGUACCCUGGGGGCCCUGACUGCUGGGCUGCUGCUCAGAAAAGGUCUCUUCCUGAGCCUCGUUGCUCCUGGACAGCCUGCCUGGUCACCUGGAGGCUGGAUGGAGAUGGGCAGCGAGGUCCAUGUGGGCUUCAUGCC
rnacentral:lncRNA from 1 species